GCCUAUUAGUGGGGGACAACUCGAGGAAACUCGAGCUAAUACCGCAUACGCCCUAAGGGGGAAAGCGGGGGAUCUUUCGGGACCUCGCGCUAAUAGAUGAGCCUAAGCCGGAUUAGCUUGUUGGUGGGGUAAAGGCCUACCAAGGCGACGAUCCGUAGCUGGUCUGAGAGGACGAUCAGCCACACUGGGACUGAGACACGGCCCAGACUCCUACGGGAGGCAGCAGUAGGGAAUAUUGCACAAUGGGCGAAAGCCUGAUGCAGCAAUGCCGCGUGUGUGAAGAAGGCCUUAGGGUUGUAAAGCACUUUCAAUAGUGAAGAAAACACAAGGAUAAUACCC
rnacentral:rRNA from 1 species